rnacentral:rRNA from 1 species
AUGGCGGCGACUCAUCCGGCCUACAACCUCAUGAAGAUUCCUGGAAGCAAAGGUGUCCUCACCGUCAAGGGGGACACCAAGGAGGCCGUGACAGUGCUCAAACUUGCCUUCAAGACCGCCGCCGCGGCGCAGCCCGUUGGUGCCGGUGCACCCUCGCGAGGCUUGCACCCUCGCGAGGCUCGCGCCGGUGCCCCCGAGGCCAAGGAGGCCGCGCCAACCAAGAAGAAGCAGUUGUUCACCCAAGACAAGGCAGAAACCAAGCAGGUGCCGGUCGACGAGGACGGGUCCUCAGGAGCCACCUUCACCAUAGGUGCCAGCCUCAACCCCAGCCAAGAGGAAGCAUUGGUGAAGUUCUUGCACGUGAACAAGGAUAUAUUCGCAUGGGAGCCCAAUCAGCUGGUAGGGGUCCCGAGAGAGGUGAUUCAGCACCACUUAAGGGUAUGCCCCAAUGUGCGCCCUGUGAAGCAGCGGGCGAGGCGGCAGUCCACGGAGAAGCAGGCCUUCAUCGACCAAGAGACCCGCAAGUUGGAGGCGGCAGGUGCCAUUCGUGAGGUUAGGUACCUCGAAUGGCUGGCGAACCCCGUUGUGGUGCCGAAGAAAGGCGGGAAGGAGCGAAUGUGCGUCGACUUCACCAACCUCAACAAGGCGUGCCCUCAAGAUCCAUUCCCUUUCCCACGCAUCGACCAGAUCGUCGACUCCACCGCCGAGUGCGACCUGCUGUGCUUCCUGGAUGCGUUCUCAGGGUAUCAUCAAAUCAAGAGGGCGGUGGAAGAUGUAGAGAAGACAGCCUUCCUGGCCUCGUGUGGGGUGUACUGCUACACCUGCAUGCCCUUCGGACUGCGCAACGCGGGCACGACCUUUCAGCGGAUGAUGCACAUCGCCUUAGGGCGGCAGCUCGGGAGAAACACGGAGGCCUACGUCAACGACAUUGUGGUGAAGUCUCGGGAGUUGAGAACCUUGAUCCAAGACCUGGAGGAGACCUUCGAGAGCCUGCGCCAGGUGAACUUGCGGCUUAACCCGGAGAAGUGUGUGUUCGGUGUCCCUUCCGGUAAGCUGCUGGGAUUCCUCGUGUCCCACAGAGGGAUUGAGGCGAACCCGGAGAAGAUCAAGGCCAUUGAGGACAUGAGCCCACCGCAGACCCUCAAGGAAAUGCAGAAGCUGGCUGGUCGGGUGACUGCGUUGGGGCGCUUCAUCUCCAAGCGGGGAGAGCGUGCCUUACCCUUCUUCAAGCUGAUGAAGAAGAAGGGCCCGUUCGAGUGGACCCCGGAGGCCGACCGAGCCUUCCAAGACCUCACCAGCCCUCCGGUGAUGGUGGCACCGCGGCCUCUUGAGCCUCUAGUACUUUAUCUUGCCGCCACCCCAUACUCCGCCAGCGCUGCGCUAGUGGCGGUUCCGGAGGAGCACCAAGCCAAGAGCGCGCUGCGCCAAGCUACGCCACAAGCCGAGAUGACGCAAGAUCAGGAAGGCGCAACAAGAGCCGUAGCGGCAACAACAGAAGACCAAGCUCGGCAGGACAACGCCAUAGAGAUUCCCACAAGCGAUCAGGCGCCAGGGGUCCCACCACCUCAGGAGGCACCCCAGCUUUCGCAAGACGCGAGCCUCACCAACACGCCUGUCCUCGUCGAGCACCCGGUGUACUUCGUCAGCACGGUGUUGCAGGACACGAGGGAACGAUAUCCCAUGCCUCAGAAGCUCCUGCUCGCGCUCCUGGUGGCCUCGCGCAAGUUGCGGCACUACUUCCAGGGCCACCCCAUCAAAGUCAUCUCGGCCUACCCAUUGGAGAGUGUGCUCAGGAGCCCCAACUCUGCCGGAAGGGUCGCCGAGUGGAACAUCGAGCUGCAGGCAUUCCAGUUGGAGUUCAGCACCACCAGGGUCAUCAAGGGAGCCGCACUCACUGACUUCGUGGCAGAAUGGAUGGAUGCCCCGACGCUGGAAGUAGGCGAGGACCGGUUGAUGACCCACAAGUAUAGGGGAUCUAUCGUAGUCCUUUCGAUAAGUAAGAGUGUCGAACCCAAUGAGGAGCAGAAGGAAAUGAUAAGCGGUUUUCAGCAAGGUAUUCUCUGCAAGCACUGA